AUUGAACGCUGGCGGCAGGCCUAACACAUGCAAGUCGAACGAGUGGCGGACGGGUGAGUAAUGUCUGGGAAAAUGCCCGAUGGAGGGGGAUCACUAAUGGAAACGGUAGCUAAUACCGCAUACCAUCGGAUGUGCCCAGAUGGGAUUAGCGAGUAGGGGGGGUAACGGCUCACCUAGGCGACGAUCCCUAGCUGGUCUGCGAGGAUGACCAGCCACACGGGAACUGAGACACGGUCCAGACUCCGACGGGAUGCAGCAGUGGGGAAUAUUGCACAAUGGGCGCAAGCCUGAUGCAGCCAUGCCGCGUGUAUGAAGAAGGCCUUCGGGUUGUAAAGUACUUUCAGCGAGGAGGCGUUACUCGCAGAAGAAGCACCGGCUAACUCCGUGCCAGCAGCCGCGAUUC
rnacentral:rRNA from 1 species